rnacentral:rRNA from 1 species
GGCGUCUGGUUUGGGAUUGAGGUGAGGAGGCAGCCUGGGGAGAGGGGGCUAAGUCUAGGUGGGAAGCGCCGGUGACGGUGGAUGGAGUUCGGCUAGGGCGGCGGACGCGGGCGCGCGGUGGUGGCGAGAAGGAGACGGGCGGCUGGGUGGGGCAGGGUCUCCGGAGUGAGCGGCGGAAGGCGGUGCCCCGGCUUGGGUUGGGUUCGGAGAGGCGCCUGGUUGAGGAGAGGGGGUUGGGGCGGCGGCGCCCGGAGGAGAAUAGGUUGGGGUCCGAGAGAUCGUAGCCACGUGGCGACGGCGGGGGUGGGAGAGGGGAAGGGUUCGACGAGUCCGCCGCGGGUCUAGACGGUGGCGGCAGGAGAUGUUGGUGCGGGUACAUCGCCGUCUACUUCCUCCUCAAUCCCCGCCUCGCCGUCCCGGGAAGGAGGCGGAGGCACCAGGUACCACAGAUGCCCGGUAAGGAGACGGAGAUGGAGCGGCUGAGAGCGGCGGAGACACCUCACUUCUAGAACUGUCCUGACGGAGGGAGGGGACGGAGCGAGGGGUGCCGCCACUCCGCUCUGGCUGGCCGCUGCGCGCCGGUCCGAUGUAUUUCCAAACUUCGUCGGAUGUGUUGUUAUUUCCUCGACCGAGAACAACCAUGAGGACCGAGAUUCCGACAAAUCGGUCGUAGCGUAGUCGAAAACGGCAACCAACACUUCUGUUAAGUUCUUUUAUUACAUCUCGAACUGUUCCUCCGGUAACUACACAAGUAAACCACGAACUGAGUCUCAGGUCUCAGGAUGUUCGACACCCUGUUCGAAGUACGUCUCUUAUGGGUUCGAUGUUAAAUGACGUUAAGUGUACAAAACUUAAGAAGUUAGAACUUAACAAGUCACUACUAUCGAUAGAACGUGGCAUGAUAUUUUAGUACCUAGCCGUUGAUCGACCAACAGUUAGGCAAGAACGAUCUACAUAGCAACAAAAAGAAGAAGAUUCUAUUCUACCAUCGUAGUGUUCAGUAGGAUAGUACUACAUGAUCAAGGACUUCACAUUCUAUUCUACCACCGUAGUCUACACACAAGACUGAACACUGACGAAUGAUCUACCUAUGUACGUCGAUCGAUCGUUGGAUCGUCAUGAUCAUUCUUAUACACACAAAUUAAGAGAGGGAUAUGGAACACUAAAUAAGAUCCAUAUAUAUCUACGGUAGAGACAGACCGUUGUAUACCUGGACUAAUGUAAGUCCACGAGUAACUCGACAGAUUCUUGUUCAUCUAGUAGUAAAGUGGUAGAAGCCGGCGGGGUCCUACGACCGGAAGUAAGAAGUUUUCAACCCACAUGUCCUCGAGAUCCUUCUUCUUAGGGCUUCUUUUUGGUGUGGGUCGUUACGCAAAAAUCGAGUGACUUCUAUCAAUACACAUAUAAAUCAACAUAAAAUAUCGAUUUAUGAUCUAAGCAUGAUACAUGAAACGAACCGAUAACAUUACAUUAGAGUCAAAACCCACAUGUCCUAACAUUACAUGAAACGAACCGACAACAUACUUUAGAAUACGGAAUAACCGAGAAAAACUUAGUGUAAUAGAUUAACGUC